UACGUAGGGUGCAAGCGUUGUCCGGAAUUAUUGGGCGUAAAGAGCUCGUAGGCGGUCUGUCGCGUCUGCUGUGAAAACUCAGGGCUUAACCCUGAGCUUGCAGUGGGUACGGGCAGACUAGAGUGCGGUAGGGGAGACUGGAAUUCCUGGUGUAGCGGUGAAAUGCGCAGAUAUCAGGAGGAACACCGGUGGCGAAAGGCGGGUCUCUGGGCCGUAACUGACGC
rnacentral:rRNA from 1 species